CCUACGGGUGGCAGCAGUGGGGAAUAUUGGACAAUGGGCGAAAGCCUGAUCCAGCCAUGCCGCGUGUGUGAAGAAGGCCUUCGGGUUGUAAAGCACUUUCAGUGGGGAAGAAAGCCUUGGGGCUAAUACCCUCGAGGAAGGACAUCACCCACAGAAGAAGCACCGGCUAACUCCGUGCCAGCAGCCGCGGUAAUACGGAGGGUGUGAGCGUUAAUCGGAAUUACUGGGCGUAAAGCGCGCGUAGGCGGUCUGAUAAGCCGGUUGUGAAAGCCCCGGGCUCAACCUGGGAACGGCAUCCGGAACUGUCAGGCUAGAGUGCAGGAGAGGAAGGUAGAAUUCCCGGUGUAGCGGUGAAAUGCGUAGAGAUCGGGAGGAAUACCAGUGGCGAAGGCGGCCUUCUGGACUGACACUGACGCUGAGGUGCGAAAGCGUGGGUAGCAAACAGGAUUAGAUACCCGGGUAGUC
rnacentral:rRNA from 1 species